AGCGUCUGGUGCGGGUGCACGAUGUCAUCCAGCAGCUGCCCCCGCCACAUUACAGGACCCUGGAGUACCUGCUGAGGCACCUGGCCCGCAUGGCGAGACACAGUGCCAACACCAGCAUGCAUGCCCGCAACCUGGCCAUUGUCUGGGCACCCAACCUGCUACGGUGAGCUGCUUGCUCGCCUGCCUGCCCCUCAGGUCUUUCCCCA
rnacentral:sRNA from 1 species